CUUGUAACCAGUUACUACAGGCGAAAGCAAAUCCAUGUCUUCAGGCUGGUGUCAUCAGGGAGAGAAGGCUUUGGUUUCCACAUAAGGAUAUAAGAUCAUUGAUGUAAAACAAGGUAUCUCACCUUCCCCUCUCCAAGACUUCCUUGUCAGUUACCCAUAUUGAUAUCAGUUUAUCCACAUCCAUGCUUUCAAGUUUAAACAAAGAAACUAGGCAAAGGCAGCUACAUAUUCGCUAGGAUUUGGGAGGAGAAGAUAAUCAACCACUGGGUAGUGAGAAGAAAGAGAGGUGGAGAAAGUGAGAGACCCCAGUAACAGAGGACAGGGACACAUUGCUAAGGAUAGGGACACAUUCACUGUAAUAUAGAAAGCCAUGCUUCUAUGUAAAAUAUGCAAUAGUUGUAUAUAUAUGUACAAAAGUGA
rnacentral:lncRNA from 1 species